UACGGAGGGUGCAAGCGUUAUCCGGAUUCACUGGGUUUAAAGCGCGCGUAGGCGGCUACUUAAGUCGGAUGUGAAAGCCCCUGGCUCAACUGGGGAAGUGCACCCGAAACUGAGUGGCUUGAGUACUAAAGAGGGUCGCGGAAUUCCCGGUGUAGAGGUGAAAUUCGUAGAUAUCAGGAGGAACACCGGUGGCGAAGGCGGUUCUCUGGGCAUGAUCUGACGCUGAGGAGCGAAAGUGUGGGGAGCGAACAGG
rnacentral:rRNA from 1 species